GACGAACGCUGGCGGCGUGCUUAACACAUGCAAGUCGAACGGAAAGGCCCUGCUUUUGUGGGGUGCUCGAGUGGCGAACGGGUGAGUAACACGUGAGUAACCUGCCCUUGACUUUGGGAUAACUUCAGGAAACUGCGGCUAAUACCGGAUAGGAGCUCCUGCUGCAUGGUGGGGGUUGGAAAGUUUCGGCGGUUGGGGAUGGACUCGCGGCUUAUCAGCUUGUUGGUGGGGUAGUGGCUUACCAAGGCUUUGACGGGUAGCCGGCCUGAGAGGGUGACCGGCCACAUUGGGACUGAGAUACGGCCCAGACUCCUACGGGAGGCAGCAGGGGGGAAUAUUACACAAUGGGCGGAAGCCUGAUGCAGCAACGCCGCGUGCGGGAUGACGGCCUUCGGGUUGUAAACCGCUUUCGCCUGUGACGAAGCGUGAGUGACGGUAAUGGGUAAAGAAGCACCGGCUAACUACGUG
rnacentral:rRNA from 1 species